rnacentral:lncRNA from 1 species
AUGUGGCUUCAGAGCUGCCUCCCUCUGCCAGUUAGGGUUCGCUACUCAGAGACACUGCUCCUCGUGAGGAGAUCGGGUUGGGGGAUUUCAGGACGGCUCCGUCAGGAAGUUCUAGGAAGUUUUACUCUGGCCCAGGGAGCACCAGCAGUAUGUGUGGGGACCUGCAUGGUGGAGGGAGCAGAUGGUGAAGGAGUCCCUUGGGAGCACGGGGAGAGGAGGAACACACAACUGCCACCAGCAGAAGCAUCUGCCAGCCUGCAACCAGGUAACACCAUCCCGGGCACCGCCACGCUGAGGUUUUCCAGUAGAUGGAGACAUGGCGGAAGGUGGGAAGGAAGGGAAAGGAAGGGAGGUCAGAAGGAAAGCUCAAAAAAUGCAGCCUGCCAACAAACCCCUGUGACUGGUCUUCGGGUCUCGACCCCAGAUGCGCUGAUCCGGUAGCGCUGCAGGGGGCAGGUCCAGGCCAAAGCCCUCUGGAGGGACACGGGUGGGCUCAGCCUCUCCCUCAGCAUCUCACGGGCUGGGGCUGAGGCUAAUAAUGGUUUUAGGUCUGAGGAGAAGGUGGCCACCCUGUAAAUAGGAAAAGGCAGGCCGCUCGUCUGAAUGACUUCAUUAUUCCCCGGAGAUGCCCAUUCUGCCUCUAACAGACAGUUGCAAGGAAGCUGCUGGCUCUGGGGCUGGUGACACAGCGCAGCGGCACAAGGAUGAUGUACGCAGGCCUUUCCUUCCCUUGUCAUUUAUUGGAGCAUCUGGGAUCUCACUUCCUACAAAUCAAGACAAAAUCUGGAAAUCAGGUUUUGGUCCUGGCUGCAGCUCAUCAGAUCAGGAGAUGAGGAGGGCUGGAAGUGCCUGCUUGCAGCUGGCUGGGCUCUGCAACACCUGCAUCUCUCAGUGCUUUUUCAUUUAAUUCCCUAAAGCCUGUUAAGGUUGUUGUGGUUGGGACAGGCUGGUGUGGGGUCCCAGCAGCACCUUUCUAAAUUUUGGUGCCACACAGUUCCAGCUGACCCUCGCUGGACAUCUUCCCACUCUCCUUCAGUAGGGAUACUGGGUGUCACAAGAGCAGCAGAAUUAAGGAAUCUUUUUCCUUCCAAAUUUGCUAUGUUUUUCCUGGAAACUCUAAGAAACCCAGGGCUGGAGGGGAAGUAGCUGGUGAGCUGGAAAACAUUCAUUUUUCUCCCAAUCUUUCUUUCCCUGCUGCUCGAAACAGUGGGAGAACCCUUGAAAGAGUCUUGCCCCUUGUGUCCCCGACCCCCCAGCACACCCCUGUAAAUGUUUUCUAAAGAUGAGCCUUACCAGUGGUUGACAUGAGGUAAAGACCAAAAGAUAUGAGAAUCCAAGAGGUUGUAUCCCAGGCCUGCCACACACAAAGCUCUGGCUUUGUGCAGGUCUGCAUCUACUGCCUGGGUCAGUAGGGCAGGUAGCGUAACUACUCAGGUACUUC